CAUGCUUUCACUUCCUUUGGCUCAACAACUCCACGCUGAACUGAAAAAUAUGAUUCUUGCAUGAUUUAGUAAUAUGUUCUUUAAAAGGCGUGACAUAUGCAUUAGCUCAGAGCUUAGCAAAACAGCAACUAACCACUUCCUUUUCUCAGCGCCUCCACAUUUAUGUUUAGAGCCGACGGCAAAGUUCCAGAGUGUCAUUCUCUGUCUGAUGGUCAUGAUGUUCAGCCAAAACCAAGCAGCUCUGCUCCUCAUUGUGCUGCUAGCGCGACGUGUCUUUGCAGGGUUUGAAACUGAUGAGCACAGGAAUAUGCUGGUAUCCAGAGGAGACUCAGUCACGUUCCACUGCAACGUAUCCACAGUAAAUGCUUCGGAAAUUACCUGGAACUUUAAAAGAUUCAUUUAUAAACAUUCUGUCCUGAUAAAUCAGACGUUUUCAAAUGUAUCCUCUGACAGACUGAAAAUCGAUCUUUUAAAGUUAAAUAUUUUCAGUGCUCAACCUGAAGAUGCAGGACUUUAUUCAUGUAGUGUAACUUCCAGACGAGGCUUAAACAGUGUUUCCUGGAAUUUAACUGUGUCUGAGAACAUUAAAGAAAACAGCUCAUCAUAUUUACCAUACGUACUCACAUCUACAACUCUAUUGCUUCUAUGUGUCAUCACAUCAGCUGUCUGCCUCUGGAG